AUGAGGACUAUUUUCUGGACCUAAUAUAUUCUGAAUAUCUUAGUUUAUGUUUUACAGCUCCUUUGUAGGUUUUAAGCGAAGUGUGUUUGUUUCCUUGACUUGGUUUCGUGUUUACUCUAUCAGGAUUCAGUCUUCAGCCUAAACCAUUUUUUUCUAACUUUGGCGCCAUAGUCACCUUUGCAAUUUUUGGAACUUUUGUUGCUUCCAUGGUCACUGGCAUUUUAGUAUACCUCGCUGGAGUAUCAUUUCUCAUCUACAUGCUUCCUUUUGUUGAAUGUCUGAUGUUUGGUGCGCUUAUCUCAGCCACAGAUCCUGUCACUGUUCUGUCUAAAUUUCAGGAGCUUGGUACAGAUGUGAAUCUGUAUGCUUUGGUCUUUGGAGAAUCUGUGCUAAAUGAUGCAAUGGCAAUUUCUCUGUAUAGAACAAUGUCAUUGGUGAGGAGUCACAUGUCAUCAGAUAAGAACCUUUUCAUGGUGGUGGUCAGAUUUCUUGAGACUUUUGUUGGCUCAAUGUCAGCAGGGGUUGGAGUUGGAUUUACUUCUGCUUUGCUUUUCAAGUAUGCUGGUCUGGAUAUCGAUAAAUACAUGCUAGCCGAAGGACUAGGCCUUUCAGGCAUCGUGUCAAUAUUAUUCACUGGAAUUGUUAUGAAGCACUACACUUUCUCAAAUUUGUCAGACAAAUCUCAGAAAUUUGUAGCUGCAUUUUUCCAUUUAAUAUCAUCGUUGGCCGAGACUUUCAUAUUUAUAUAUAUGGGAUUUGACAUUGCCAUGGAACAGCACAGCUGGUCUCAUGUUGGAUUCAUCUUUUUUCAAUUUUAUUCAUUGGCAUUGAAAGAUGUAUUCUCAUGUGCUUAUUUGGUCAAUAUGGGUAGACCUUCGCAUAGAAAAAUAUCAAUGAAGCAUCAGAAAGCACUUUGGUAUAGUGGGCUCCGAGGGGCAAUGGCAUUUGCGCUUGCCCUGCAAUCGGUUCAUGAUCUUCCAGAGGGUCACGGUCAGACUAUAUUCACUGCGACAACUGCAAUUGUUGUUUUAACGGUUUUGCUGAUAGGAGGUUCAACAGGAACCAUGCUGGAAGCCUUGGAAGUUGUUGGUGAUGGUCAUGAGAUCCCAUUGGGUGAACUGUACAAUUUGGCGUGAGGUAAUCAAAUUUGAAAUUCGAAUUCAAGCAUAAAUUCUAGGAUUCGUUUUUAGCAGUGUGUUGGUGUAGUUAUCUAUGAAUAUGAUGAAAGCAUUAGUCAGCCCUGUGGAUCAAAAUGUUUUUGCAUUCAAUAUUUACUUUUGGAAAGUCACUUACAUAUCCUUCUCCCAUUGCUCUGUAUGAUCACCGGCUCCUCUAACAGAGCCAAUAAAUUUGUUGUCCCACUCAUUGUCUCCCUGUCAUAAGGUCAUAAUCAGGUUAAACAGAGCCAUUAAAUUUGUUGCUUGCUUGAUAAUAUUACACCAAUUUCUGCAACAGCGGUCACAAGUUCUGGGAUUUUAACGUCUUUGUUUCAAUUUCAGAGUUUUGAUGCAAACCAAUGGCUACAUAGCUCCUACUUAUGAGGGGGAAUCAUCUUCUGGGAACCGGUUUAAGAUGACACUUAGUGAGUUCCGUAAAAGCACUGCAUCUUUCACUGAAAAUAAAUCGUAGGUGUAAAAUUGUAGU